UACAGAGGGUGCAAGCGUUGUUCGGAAUUAUUGGGCGUAAAGGGAGUGUAGGCGGCUAGGAAAGUCUUCUGUGAAAUCUACGGGCUCAGCCUGUAACGUGCAGAGGAAACUAUCUGGCUAGAGUGUCGGAGAGGAUAGGGGAAUACCCAGUAUAGAGGUGAAAUUCGUAGAGAUUGGGUGGAACACCAGUGGCGAAGGCGCCUGUCUGGCUGACAACUGACGCUGAGACUCGAAAGCAUGGGGAGCAAACAGG
rnacentral:rRNA from 1 species